CGUGCAGUUUUCGUGCUGUCUCUUCGGGAUGAGGAUGCAUGCGGGUUCGAUUCCCGCCGGUAUCGACUAAGUCGCAGUUAGUCGAUCACUAGUCGAAUGAGAAUUAUCCGGCUAGCCAAACCUGACCGGCCGCAACUUGCAAGCACUGUUUGCAGAUCAGUUGGCCGUUGGCUAAUCCACACCAACUCCUCCAAUCGCGGAUCAUAAAAAAUUAAAGAAUCGCAAUAAAAUCCUGGAUUCUGGUCGCCGGUUAACCGACCUGCAGCACUGGGCGUGGGCCUCUGUCCGUGCGUCGGAUGAGAGCGCGUGCGGAAAAAAAGGACCAAAGAAGGCCCG
rnacentral:lncRNA from 1 species